AUGAGAAUCCCCACCGACACCCAGCCAAUCAAGGCGCAGGCUGACCUGCAGCGCCAUAGCCUCACCUACCUGACGUCCAUGUCACUCAGGUGCGCCAUCGAACUCGGCAUCCCGACGAUGAUCCAGCGCCUUGGCGACACCGCGUCGUUGCCCGACCUGAUGGCCGCUCUGUCCCUUCCACCACCCAAGGCGCCGUUUCUCAGCUGCGUCCUGUAGCUGCUGGCCAAAUCUGACGCCCUGACGUGCAACGAGGCCGGGAUCUCAGCCUCACCCCGCUGUCCUACAUCCAUCCUCGUGGAUGGCAUACUCAUCGACGGAGAGGCUAGGCAGAUAGCCUUCCCGCUGGCCGUGACGUCGCGGUAUCACAUGGAGUCUGAUUUAGGCCUGGCCGAUUGGUUCAAGAAUGAUCGUGCACUACCGGUGCCAUCUUCAUUUGAGCAUGUCCAUGCGGCGGCACCCUUCGAUGAGAGUAUGACGCUCCUCGAUCCUGAGACCGACAACCUGUUCUAUGAAGCUUUGGCCGCCCAUGACCAUAUGGGGAUCGGCACGGUUGUACGGGAAUGCGGUGGCCUGUUCAAUGGCCUGUAGUCACUCACCGACUGCUGUGGUGGUGAUGGGACGAUGGCAAGGGCCAUCGUCAAGGCCUUCCCGCAUAUCAAGUGCAAUGUGUUGGACCUUCCACAGGUGAUCCAGAAACCGAGUGACGGUGUUCUUAACUAUGUCGCUGGCGACCUCUUCCAUACCGUCCCACCAGCUCAAGCCGUGAUGCUCAAGCUUGUUCUACACUUCUGGAGCGAUGAGGAUUGCAUCAAAAUCCUUGCUCAAUGCAAGAAGGCCAUACCUUCCCGAGAAAUGGGGGGAAAAGUGAUCAUCAUAGAAAUAGUGCUUGGAUCUUCUCUUGAUGGACAUGCUGAUGUUCAUAUGUACCAGAGGAUGGCAACAGGAUGA
rnacentral:rRNA from 1 species